UACGUAGGUGGCGAGCGUUGUCCGGAUUUACUGGGCGUAAAGGGAGCGUAGGCGGACUUUUAAGUGAGAUGUGAAAUACCCGGGCUCAACUUGGGUGCUGCAUUUCAAACUGGAAGUCUAGAGUGCAGGAGAGGAGAAUGGAAUUCCUAGUGUAGCGGUGAAAUGCGUAGAGAUUAGGAAGAACACCAGUGGCGAAGGCGAUUCUCUGGACUGUAACUGACGCUGAGGCUCGAAAGCGUAGGGAGCAAACAGGAUUAGAUACCCGGGUA
rnacentral:rRNA from 1 species